rnacentral:rRNA from 1 species
UACAGAGGGUGCGAGCGUUAAUCGGAAUUACUGGGCGUAAAGCGUGCGUAGAUGGUUAUGUAAGUCGGAUGUGAAAGCCCCGGGCUCAACCUGGGAAUUGCAUUCGAGACUGCAUAGCUAGGAUGCGGAAGAGGGAAGCGGAAUUUCCGGUGUAGCGGUGAAAUGCGUAGAUAUCGGAAGGAACACCAGUGGCGAAAGCGGCUUCCUGGUCCAGCAUCGACGUUCAGGCACGAAUGCGUGGGGAGCAAACAGG